ensembl:lncRNA
UGAAGAGAGAGAAAAGUAGGAAAGAGGAAAAGAGUAAAGUGUGAGAAAAAAGCAAAGAGAGAAGAGAGGAAAAAGAAGAAAGUUUAAGGAAAGAACAAAGAGAAAAAGAACAAAGUGUGGAAAAAGAACAAAGUGUGAAAAUAGCAAAGUAAGAGGAAAGAGGAAAAUAGGAAAGUGUGAAAAUAGCAAAGUGUGAAAAAAGAGGAAAGAGAGUAAAGAGGAAAAAGAACAAAGUGUGAAAAUAGCAAAGUGUGAGAAAAGAGCAAAGUAACAAAGUAUGGAAAAAAAACAAAGUGUGAAAAUAGCAAAGUGUGAGGAAAGAGGAAAAAGAACAAAGUGUGAGGAAAGAGGAAAAAGAACAAAGUGUGAAAAUAGCAAAGUGUGAGAAAAGAGGAAAAAGAACAAAGUGUGAAAAUAGCAAAGUGUGAGAAAAGAGGAAAGUAGAAAAAUAGCAAAGUGUGAGAAAAGAACAAACUCACCUCUAUGGAUGUCAACGUCGUCUUUAAUCGUCCACUGCAGAUCUCGUCUCUCGGCAUGUAAAAGAAACAGAGAAAAUGGCGACAUCAGCAAACAAUCAAAGUCCCAUGUCUUCAAUUUAUGUCAAAGCCAUGAAUGACACAGACAAGUGACCAGGAUAAAGUCCAAACGUGACCCAGAUGCUAAACAGCCAACACCUCAAGGACAGAGUGUGUCAAAGCAAAGAGUUAGACAUGCAAAGAACCCGAACAAAGUGCAAACAUGACAGACAACACAAAACAACCAUCGCUUCUGUCAAUGUGUAUGACUCACCUCUAUGGAUGUCAAUGUCCUCUUUAAUCGUCCACUGCACAUCUCGUCUCUCGACAUGUAAAACAAACAAAGAAAAAGGCAACAUCAGCAAACAAUCAAAGUCCCAUGUCUUCAAUUUAUGUCAAAGCCAUGAAUGACGCAGACAAGUGACCAGGAUUAAGUCCAAAUGUGACCCAGAUGGAAAACAGCCA